AACGAAGGAAAAGCACCGUUUCUGCAGCGCCGCUGGUCCAACACACUGCGCAAGGGGACGCCGCGGAAGCUGUAGUCCAGGAUAUAGCGGAAGCUGGAAGUGGCGGCGAGGUUGUAGUCCACGAAUCCGGAAGCGGCCGAGAAGAUUGGGAAACCGGAAGUGGCCGUGACGUUGUAGUCCAGGAAACCGAUAAUGGCGGAGAAACUGUAGUCCAGGAUAUACCGGAAGCAGGAAGUGGUGAAGAAGAUCAAAAAAUUGAAAAUACGAUUCAAGAAAGUUCUGACCAGCCAACUUUUAGUUCAACACCCGAAACCGAUGACUCACCCCUUCUCGCUAUAUUGAGCAGACUGAGAAAUUAAGUAAGGAAUCGAAUCGGCCAGUCCAGCAUUCCCAUCAGAGAAGAAUCCAGACACCUGGCUUUUCACACAUUGACGGCUGUGAGCGAGCUUCUGUCUGCAGCCGGCAACCGAGAUGAAGUUCCCGAGCGCCUGGUUAUUCAGGCAUUGGCAGCUGUCGGCGAGCUUCUGACUGCACCAGGCAACCAAGAAGACCCCGGCUUCCGUUCGUCCAUCUUGGUGAAUAUGUGCUAUAUAAUGAGGAACAUUCUUGGAUGAAGAAAAAAAAAAAAAAAGUCUAGUGAAUAAACAUGUCUGA